rnacentral:rRNA from 1 species
ACGCUCGACACCUACGGGAGACAGCAGUGGGGAAUAUUGCACAAUGGGGGAAACCCUGAUGCAGCGACGCCGCGUGAGCGAAGAAGUAUUUCGGUGUGUAAAGCUCUAUCAGCAGGGAAGAAACUGACGGUACCUGACUAAGAAGCACCGGCUAAAUACGUGCCAGCAGCCGCGGUAAUCUGAGCGGGCUGGCAAGGC